rnacentral:rRNA from 1 species
AAUCCUGAUUCAGGAGGUAGUAGACAAGAAAUAACAACCUGGAGUCUCACGACUUGCGGGAUUGCAAUGAGAACAAUUUAAACCUCUUAACAAGGAACAAUUGGAGGGCAAGUCUGGUGCCAGCAGCCGCGGUAAUUCCAGCUCCAAUAGCGUAUAUUAAAGUUGUUGCAGUUAAAAAGCUCGUAGUUGAACUUCUGGGCGUUCGGAGCGGGGUCAAACCAGCUCAUGGGCGUUCAUCCGUCUGAGAACCAUAUUCGAUCUUCACUGGUCGGUAUGGGAAUCAGGCACUUUACUUUGAAAAAAUUAGAGUGUUCCAGGCAGACAUUUGUCUUGAAUACACAAGCAUGGAAUAAUGGAAUAGGACUAAUAUCCAUUUUAUUGGUAUAUUGGAGUUAGUAAUGAUUAACAGGGACAGUUGGGGG